GACGAACGCUGGCGGCGUGCUUAACACAUGCAAGUCGAGCGAAAAGACGAGGAGUUUGUUCGUUUCUCGAUUGCCGCACGCGUGAGUGUAACGUGUGUAAACUCCACUUCUCUGUCGGGGAUAAUUUCGGGACUCCGGCUAAUACCCCGGAUAAUCUACUGCUCCGCAGGGUUCAAUAGUGAUUGUCGGUUUUGCUGUCAGUUCUCGAUGGAUCAGCGCUGCAUUAGCUAGUUGGUAGGGUAACGGCUUACCAGGGCUACGAUGGGUAAGCGAGUUGAGAGGGGGAUCGCCGACACGGGAGCUGAGACACGGUCCAGGCUCCUACGGGAGGCAGCAGUAGGGAAUCUUCGGCAAUGGGCGGAAUCUUGACGGAGCGGCGGCACGUGGGUGAUGAAGGUCUUCGGAGCGGAAGACGGUGUUAGGGGUGAAAAACAAAUUUGUAAGGAACUAUGCACUUCGUGACGGUACCUGGUCAAGAAGCAACGGCUAACUACGUG
rnacentral:rRNA from 1 species